UUUAGAUGGAGCAUGGUUGAAGCAUGCCGUG
rnacentral:piRNA from 1 species